rnacentral:rRNA from 1 species
UCAGCCACACUGGAACUGAGACACGGUCCAGACUCGUACGCGAGGCAGCAGUGGGGAAUAUUGGACAAUGGGCGCAAGCCUGAUCCAGCCAUGCCGCGUGUGUGAAGAAGGCCUUCGGGUUGUAAAGCACUUUCAGCGAGGAGGAAGGGUGUUGUGUUAAUAGCACAGCAUUUUGACGUUACUCGCAGAAGAAGCACCGGCUAACUCCGUGCCAGCAGCCGCGGUAAUACGGAGGGUGCGAGCGUUAAUCGGAAUUACUGGGCGUAAAGCGCACGUAGGCGGUGUGUUAAGUUGGAUGUGAAAGCCCCGGGCUCAACCUGGGAAUUGCAUUCAAAACUGGCACGCUAGAGUAUGUGAGAGGGGGGUAGAAUUCCAAGUGUAGCGGUGAAAUGCGUAGAGAUUUGGAGGAAUACCAGUGGCGAAGGCGGCCCCCUGGCACAAUACUGACGCUCAGGUGCGAAAGCGUGGGGAGCAAACAGGAUUAGAUACCCUGGUAGUCCACGCCGUAAACGAUGUCUACUAGCUGUUCGUGGUCUUGUACUGUGAGUAGCGCAGCUAACGCACUAAGUAGACCGCCUGGGGAGUACGGUACGCAAGAUUAAAACUCAAAUGAAUUGACGGGGGCCCGCACAAGCGGUGGAGCAUGUGGUUUAAUUCGACGCAACGCGAAGAACCUUACCUACUCUUGACAUCUAGCGAAGAUUGCAGAGAUGCAGUUGUGCCUUCGGGAACGCUAAGACAGGUGCUGCAUGGCUGUCGUCAGCUCGUGUUGUGAAAUGUUGGGUUAAGUCCCGCAACGAGCGCAACCCUUAUCCUUAGUUGCCAGCACGUAAUGGUGGGAACUCUAGGGAGACUGCCGGUGAUAAACCGGAGGAAGGUGGGGACGACGUCAAGUCAUCAUGGCCCUUACGAGUAGGGCUACACACGUGCUACAAUGGUACGUACAGAGGGAGGCAAGCUGGCGACAGUGAGCGGAUCUCUUAAAGCGUAUCGUAGUCCGGAUCGCAGUCUGCAACUCGG